GAUGAACGCUAGCUACAGGCUUAACACAUGCAAGUCGAGGGGCAGCAUGGACAUAGCUUGCUAUGUUUGAUGGCGACCGGCGCACGGGUGCGUAACACGUAUCCAAUCUGCCCGUUACUCGGGGAUACCCUUCUGAAAGGAAGAUUAAUACCCGAUGGCAUGUAUUUCCGGCAUCGGAGAUACAUUAAAGAUUUAUCGGUAACGGAUGAGGAUGCGUACGAUUAGCUUGUUGGCGGGGUAACGGCCCACCAAGGCGACGAUCGUUAGGGGUUCUGAGAGGAAGGUCCCCCACACUGGAACUGAGACACGGUCCAGACUCCUACGGGAGGCAGCAGUGAGGAAUAUUGGUCAAUGGUCGGAAGACUGAACCAGCCAAGUAGCGUGAAGGAUGACUGCCCUACGGGUUGUAAACUUCUUUUGUUUGGGAAUAAAAGACGCUACGUGUAGCGUUCUGCAUGUACCUUACGAAUAAGCAUCGGCUAAUUCCGUGCCAGCCGCCGCCGUAACAC
rnacentral:rRNA from 1 species